rnacentral:rRNA from 1 species
UACGAGUGGUGCGAGCGUUAUUCGGAUUUAUUGGGCGUAAAGGGUGUGUAGGCGGUUCUUUUAAGUUUGGUGUGAAAUCUCCCGGCUCAACUGGGAGGGUGCGCCGAAUACUGAGGGACUAGAGUACGGGAGAGGAAAGUGGAAUUCCUGGUGUAGCGGUGAAAUGCGUAGAUAUCAGGAGGAACACCGGUGGUGUAGACGGCUUUCUGGACCGUAACUGACGCUGAGACACGAAAGCGUGGGUAGCAAACAGG